UACGUAGGGUGCAAGCGUUGUCCGGAAUUACUGGGCGUAAAGGAGCGCGCAGGCGGUCGAUCAAGUCGAGUGUGAAAGCCCCCGGCUCCAACUGGGGAGGGUCAUUCGGAAACUGGUCGACUCGAAGGCAGGAGAGGGUAGUGGAAUUCCCGGUGUAGUGGUGAAAUGCGUAGAUAUCGGGAGGAACACCAGUGGCGAAGGCGACUACCUGGCCUGUUCUUGACGCUGAGGCGCGAAAGCUAGGGGAGCAAACGGG
rnacentral:rRNA from 1 species